rnacentral:misc_RNA from 1 species
GAUGUAGAACGUAGCGAAAUGCGAUAAGUAAUGUGAAUUGCAGAAUUCAGUGAAUCAUCGAAUCUUUGAACGCACCUUGCACCCUUUGGCAUUCUGAAGGGUAUGCUCGUUUGAGUGUCAUUGUACUCUCACACUCCCGAUCUUUGCAUUGGGAGCAGUGGACUUGGGUUUGCUGCUUCACCGUCGCUUACCUCAAAUAGGUUAGUGCAACUCUUGGUUGGACAUAGUACGGCGUGAUAAGUGUUCUUCGCCGGUGCCUCGCAAAGAGGGUGGCCGAUCGGGAUGUUGUGCUCCAAACCGUCUUCGGACAAUCUCUGACGACUUGACCUCAAAUCGAGUAAGACUACCCGCUGAACUUAAGCAUAUCAAUAAGCGGAGGA